AAAGGCACAUUCAGCCAGAGAGAGAGAGAAGCCAUGAACCCUUCAGGUCCUGACGUGGAGAAUAACAGCCAAGAUGUUUUCACUCCCAUUACUGUUGUUCAAAUUGAUGAAAAUCCAACACUGGUGAAAGAUCAUGUUUUAUGGUCUCUGUGCAGUUUCUACUUCUUGAAUUGCUUCUGCCUUGGACUGAUUGCUUUAUGGUAUUCAAUUAGAUCCAGAGAUCAGAAAGUGGCAAAGAACCUACAACUGGCAAGAAUGUAUGGAGAUAAAGCAAAAUUCUUUAAUAUCAUUGUCUUGAUCAUGUUAGGUGUUACCAUCUUGAUUGCCAUUAUUGCAGGAAUUUCUAUAGGAGCGUCAGCACGCAGUUAUACCAGCCAUUAUUCAUACAGAUGGUAAUGAUAAUUAAAAUAAUUUCAGAUCCUAAAGAGGAAAGUAACUAACUGAUGUCUGCAGUGCUAACCUGAGUGUGAAGAAAUCCACUUCAGAAUUUAUUAUGGCAAAAAAAAAAGAUAAAUAGCCAUUAUUAUAAUAAAACCAAUGCUUUGCCAGAAGCUUAACAGA